rnacentral:rRNA from 1 species
GACGAACGCUGGCGGCGUGCUUAACACAUGCAAGUCGAACGGUGAAGCGCCUUCCUUUUUGGUGGGUGUGGAUGAGUGGCGAACGGGUGAGUAACACGUGAGUAACCUGCCCCCUUCUUCUGGAUAACCGCAUGAAAGUGUGGCUAAUACGGGAUAUUCUGGGUCUGUCGCAUGAUGGGUCUGGGAAAGAUAUUGUUUCGGUGGGGGAUGGGCUCGCGGCCUAUCAGCUUGUUGGUGGGGUGAUGGCCUACCAAGGCGGUGACGGGUAGCCGGCCUGGGAGGGUGGGCCGUCACACCGGGGCUGGGGCACGGGCCAGACUCCUACGGGAGGCAGCAGUGGGGAAUAUUGCACAAUGGGCGCAAGCCUGAUGCAGCGACGCCGCGUGAGGGAUGGAGGCCUUCGGGUUGUGAACCUCUUUCGCCAGUGAAGCAGGCCUGCCUCGUUUGUGGGUGGGUUGACGGUAGCUGGAUAAGAAGCGCCGGCUAACUACGUG